AGGUGAGCCGGGACAGCCUUCUUCCUCCGCCCAGCCGCCACAGUAAUUUGUCGUCAAGUCUGCCACAGGAGGAUAUUUAUUCUGGGUUAACCUGCUUUUAUACUUCGCAGGUUGUUUAUCGAUAUUUGUGUAAUUUUAUUUACUCCUAGAAUUUCCGCAUGUGUUAGCAGUAAUUAUUUGAAUUUAGUCUGUAAUAUUAUAUUCAUGUUGGACCUGUAAACUUAAUAUUUUAAGUCUGUUUUGAUGGAUUGGAUGAGGGAGCUGAGCUCCCAUUUAUUAUUA